AGAGUUUGAUCAUGGCUCAGAGUGAACGCUGGCGGCGUGCCUAACACAUGCAAGUCGAACGAGAACGGAUUUAGUUUACUAAAUUGUCAGCUAAGUGGCGCACGGGUGAGUAAUAUAUAGUUAAUCUGCCCCAAAGAAGAGAAUAAUUGUUGGAAACGACUUGUAAUGCUCUAUAUGCCUUUAUUACAUAAGUAAGCAAGGGAAACAUUUAUGGCUUUGGGAUGAGACUGUACGGUAUCAGAUAGUUGGUGAGGUAAUGGCUCACCAAGUCUAUGACACCUAACUGGUUUGAGAGGAUGAUCAGUCACACUGGAACUGAGACACGGUCCAGACUCCUACGGGAGGCAGCAGUGGGGAAUAUUGCACAAUGGAGGGAACUCUGAUGCAGCAACGCCGCGUGGAGGAUGACACAUUUCGGUGCGUAAACUCCCUUUUAUAUGAGAAGAUAAUGACGGGUAUCAUAUGAAUAAGCACCGGGCUAAACUCCCGU
rnacentral:rRNA from 1 species